AACCAAGAAAUUUAGUCAUUCUUUUAUGGUAAAAAGACAGUUAAGCCAGUAUAAAAAGUCAUUGGACCUUUAAUAUAGGAGUAAAAUCUAGAUACUAAAAGUUAUAUCAGACAUGGCUUAAUUUAGAUGCUGAAGCUGUGAUAGCUUUAAGGGAAACUGGGAUUGGAUACCCCAUUAUUUUUAGUUGUAAAUUUAGUAAGCUUACCAGAGUACUACGAAUAAAAAGUUUAAAACUCAAAGAGCUUGGCGGUGUUUUAGACCUCUCAGGGGAACCUGUCUCAUAAUCGACAAUCCGCGUUAAACCUAACCUUUGAUAGCAAUUCAGCCUGUAUACCGUCGUCGUCAGGUAACUUCUUAAAAUAUAGUAGUUAGCUUGAGAAUUUUAUUAAUUAAAACGUCAGAUCAAGGUGCAGCUAAUGAAAGGGUGAGGAUGGGUUACAAUUACACAUUUGUAAAUACGGAAAACAUUUGAAAUAAUGUCUUAAAGGAGGACUUGAAAGUAAUUUUGAUUAUAUAAAUAGAAUGAAUAGGGCUCUGAAACGUG
rnacentral:rRNA from 1 species